CCUACGGGAGGCAGCAGUGAGGAAUAUUGGUCAAUGGGCGCGAGCCUGAACCAGCCAAGUAGCGUGAAGGAUGACUGCCCUACGGGUUGUAAACUUCUUUUAUAAAGGAAUAAAGUGAGGCACGUGUGCCUUUUUGUAUGUACUUUAUGAAUAAGCAUCGGCUAACUCCGUGCCAGCAGCCGCGGUAAUACGGAGGAUCCGAGCGUUAUCCGGAUUUAUUGGGUUUAAAGGGAGCGUAGAUGGGUUGUUAAGUCAGGGGUGAAAGUUUGCGGCUCAACCGUAAAACUGCAAUUGAUACUGGCAGCCUUGAGUAGAGUUGAGGUAGGCGGAAUGCGUGGUGUAGCGGUGAAAUGCUUAGAUAUCACGAAGAACUCCGAUUGCGAAGGCAGCUUACUAAACUGCCACUGACAUUGAGGCUCGAAAGUGUGGGUAUCAAACAGGAUUAGAUACCCGGGUAGUC
rnacentral:rRNA from 1 species